UCCUAAUAUAUAUUUUUUUUAUUUAUAGGGGUGCUCUCUACUGAUUUAAGCCCAAGGUAUCAAGCCAUGUGCGAGCAGGACUAAUAGUGCAUCAUGUCUAUGUGUCCUGCUUAAUCUUAUGUGCACAAGUACUAAAGUGGGGCUCUUUUCCUUUUAUUAGAGGGAUUUAAUUUGUAAAGAGACACAUAUCCCAAGAUUGCAAUAAUAUGGAGGGUCAUCUUUAGAUUAUAAAGCCAGAAAACUCUGAAACAAGGAAAGAAAUUGUCUUUAUUAGGCCAACUUAACACAGAUAGUUUGGGUUUUUUUUGAAUGCUCCUAUUGUGAAAAGAGAAUAUUUCUUUUUAACACUGAACAUAGAACGUUUUAACUUACUGUCCUCUAUGCCUACAGCUAACCAUAAAAGAAAUAUGUUAACAGAUGUCUUUUAAACAGUUUGUGUAACUGAAGGUGGUCAGUUGGGACUGAAAGAGAAUUGCUUUGCAGCAAGGUGACUUCACUGAAACAUUCGUGGUUUUGUAUUUGCUCACACAAUAUUGGUAACCUUAAAGUAUGUCUUUUAAAAAGAAACCGAGUACGGUGCCAUUUGUCAAUAAAAGGUGGUUAUGCUUCAUCUAAAAUUCCUCACUAAUUUAUAAAAUUGCUUUCUGGUUCUGGAGAAAUACUCAUUAUCUUGCAUGCACUUUGAUAUUUAUGUUGUUGUCAUUUCGGGAGGCGUAAGUCACUGUCGAGUGGCCACAAAAGGCUGAUAAAUUCCCCAUAAGUACAAAGGUGAUGUUGAAACAUAAGUUAAGUGAAUAAAUAUGCCAGAAGUGUGUUUGCUGCUCCAGAUUGAAACACAAACUGUCAACUCGAAGUGACUUACCCAGAGUGUGUUCAUCCUGGAGCACAAAUUAAAAUGCUGCUCAUUAUGGAGUUCCUGAAAUGCAAAAUGACGUGGAGCUGCAAGGAUUUAGCUGAUAAGGCUUUUCUAAAUGUGUGUUAGGAAUGCAGAGCAAACACCAGCACCACACCUUCUGUCAGUCUCUGUUUUUGCAGAGAAGGCAUCCCUUAAUUUGCAGAAACACAUUUUUUUAAUCUGAUUUGCAUGAAGAAGUAUUAACAUAUUUCACUCUUUCACUCAGUCCUGGGAAAACAAUUUUAAAAUCCAAAAUUAAGGUAAUAUUUGGCAAGGAAUGGAAGGAGUCAGUGGGGUUUUUUCCCCCCAAAUCCUUUGUUACCAGGGAGCUGUACCAUGUAGAAGGGAGGCUCCGGCUCUGGAUCAGUUUUGGGGUAAAAUAUGUGAAGUUUGCCAUGUAUAUUUGGGUGCAUUCCUUGUUUGCAUCCAGCCCUGUAACACAAGUCAUAGGGCUUGCAACUUAUUUUUCUACAACACACGUGUUUCGGGGAGGUUGGUCACUGUUAUGGAUGUGUUUAACCCACAUCCUGGUGCUGUUUGUUGGGCUUGGAGCAGCCAAGCUUUGUGUUUUUAAACACAUUAUUUAUUUUUUCCACUUGUUGUCGAUGUCUGGUAUCAUAAGAUAAUCUGCCUGAAUGCCUGUAAAAAAUUUUAUUCCACUGAGACUGGACUGGCAGCUUUUCACUGAAAUUACAUUGCCAUGCUCAUGCUGAAAGCAGUGGUAUAUUUGGAUUUCUUUUUCCGUGCUGAUUUGGAUGUGUGCUUGUUUGUGUGCUUGGUUCAUAUGAAUCUACUGCUUGAUUUUUUAAAAAACACAUUGUACUUGUAGACUGUUCCACGUGGCUUGCUCACUCGUGAACACUCGGUGUCGAAUGGUUCGGGGUGUGCUGAAUGAUCUUAAUUACUGUGGGUUUGAGACUGGAUUUUACAUGGAAAAAAAAAAAAAUUCUUAAAUGGAAGACUUUUGACUGUUUUAUCUCAACACUUUGAGAAUUAGCUCGUGCUCGGAUAUGAAAGGGUGUGAGAUGUGAAAGUUGGCCUGAAAGCGUGUGGGUAACUAGUGUGUGAAGAGGACAUGUCUCUAAAACAGGAUGGUGGCUUGGAAAGGGAUUUUUCCCAACAUUUUCUGAUCCCAUGCAUUACCUUUCUGCAAGGAUGGCAGAGAAUGCUGAAAGAAGAGUGUGGAAAAGAAGCUGAAGGUCUAUAGACAGAGAUUUUAGGGACUCCCCUUGGGUUUCUCCACCUUGUGCUUUGAGGGAUGACAACAGUCCGCAUUGUGCCUUGUAAAGUAGGCAGAUUAAUUUAUUUAAUGUUAUUUUUUCCUGGAGAUUUUAAUAUAAUUCUGUAGAAUACAGUGUUUAAUGGCAGGGCACGACCCCUGAAAAGCAUGUUUUGAGCCUCUCCUGGAGUGGAACCAGCUUCUGUCAUACUUUGUGGAAAGCAAACAAAUGUGCAGCUUCUCAGUGAGCCAGCAUAAAAUAAGUGGAAGAGUUAUGAAUUUUUUUUUUAAACUUCUGUCCUCCUAGCACUGGGAGCCUUAAAAUCUUAUUGAUUGGGUCAGUUUGUUAUUUUCUCCUAUUAAGAUCAGCAGGAGAAAUUCCCUUUUCUGUGAGCUGCAGGCAGGUUGAGCACCACAAUCCCAGCGUGUGCUCCCCAUUCCCAGGUUUCUGAUGAGUAGAUGCUUAUUUAAAAUAAAUAAAUAACUAAUUUUACUUCGUUUGCUCAAAGAAAGAUGCAAAUGAGUAAAUGCUUCUCCCUCCUGUCUGUCUACAUCUUUGUUAUUUCAGAGAGCAACUCAAUAUCUCUUUUUUUUUUAUUUAUUGUUAGUCUAUGGAUGUGGUUUUGAGCUUAUGAGGAAUAUUUUGAGCCGUUUGAUACCGACUAUGAAUUUUAAGUGCAGAAAAGAAACCCAUAAAAAUUAAUAAACCAACCUCUGGAACUUUUUCAUGGGCUCCUUUGAACAGCUGAAGUAGGAUGCUAAUAGCUGGUUUAUGAUAAACGCUGCUGAAGCCGGGCAAUCGGAGGAAGAGGCAAUAAAUCACACGAGCAGGGGAGAUGCUGCUGGCAACACCACUGGCAGCAAUCACAGGAAACUGCUUUCUUUACAAAUCUUCCCUUCAGUUUAAAGGAAAACCAGACCUUGUUUAUUUGUCCUCAAUAUAAGCAUCAGUGUAACUUUGCUUCAGAUCCAUCUCAGUGGGAAAGGAAGCAAAACCAUUUAUUUUUUUU